GUGACCAGAAGCAGGCUUGGACUCCAGCUGUUGACACAGCAGGGAAUUACUGUUGCUGUAAACCUUCACAGGCACAGGACUCAACAAUGAGGUCUGGAGAUGGCAGAAGCCAAAGUCUCCAAAGGAGUUUUGUUUCAGUCUUUUGAGAUGGGAAUCUCACCACGGAAGUCCCGGACAGCCCUGAACUCACAAUCACCUUGCUUGACCUCUUCCAGCUUCCUGCUGCGGCUGCUGAUUGCAGAAGUGACUCACUGCUGGUGUUGGGUGACACUGAAGAUCAAGGAUGGAUGAUAAAAAUACCCUGGAUUGUGCAACCUGAGGGAGAGGAUGCAGCGCUUGCACCUAGAUUCAAAGCACCAGCCAGGAACCUUGAACAAUGGCCACAGUUUGGUCUCUUUGGGGAAGCAGAGUAAAGACAGGAGUCAGAACAUAAGCUGACCUGUGACAGAUUUGCUGGGCCUGUGUUCUCUGCCCUUUUGGGUGUGUUUUCUGAGAAACGCAGUACAGAUAUUUAGCAGGACAACCUGGCUCACAUGAGGGACCCAAAAGGAAGACCCUGGUUCAGCAAGCAGUGAGCGGAGAGGCCCUGACAUUUCCUAUUGUCAGCCCUGAGAGCAGGGUUCUUUCUUUCUGGGCUUGUUCUCCAUUGCAAAGGACUGUCCUCUGCCAGUAUGGGAACUGUGAGUGAAGCCACCGUGACAGAGUGGCUCCAGGCUGUCUACUGCCCUAACACACAACCCUGACAGCAGGGUCAUCUAAAUCUGUCCUGUGUGCAAAGUGGCACCACAGCAACCAGCUGCCUUCCUAGGAGGAAACUCACCUUCCUUCACCCAAAUCCACUGGUGGGAUGGAUGAAAACCAGAACGCUAAUUACACCCCAUGGGCCCCAUGGGCUGAGCAAAACCAAGCAACUUUUUCUAAAGAACUAGUCCCCGGCCAGGGCACAGACUACUCAAGAUGGAAGUGAGUGAGAGGCAGGAAAAUCACCCCAUCAGAAGGCCAAGCAAAUGGGAGCAGAGACUUCAGAGCAGAACUGAGCGGGCAUUGUGCUCCUACUGUAAUCCCACUACAUGGGAGGCCUGGACUAGAGACAGACCCCAUCUUAAGCAGAAAUAGAUAAAGAGGAAGGAAGAAGGAAGGAAGGAAGGAAGGAAGGAAAGAAGGAAAAAAGGAAGAGGUACCUGUCUCUCCGUGUAUAUGUGUGUAUUUGGGCAUCUUACAGAUAGACCCUCACAACAGAAUUCAUGCUACGACAGCAUCAUUCUCCAGGAGGUGAAGCAGGAAGCAUCCUCAUAAACUUCCGGUGCUAUUCUAGAUGAAUAGGGACCUGGCUGAGCAGGGAGGCUAAGUUUGCCUUUGAGAGCUCCCUUGACUACCUUCUCUCUCUAACACACACAAUGCCUGCCCGUCUUUGGGAAGAUGUGAGACCCAGAGAGUUCCUCUGGAACUCCCCUUCUUAGUAAGUGAGUCACUGGCUAAGUGAGGCAGAGGGCACUGGCAGAAGCUUAUAGAAACAGACCUUUCCCGCACACACCUGACCACACAUGCCCACAUGUUACCAGCACAACGGAAAGGCUGGGGAGCUAGCUAAUGCCAGAGUCUGGCUGACCCGGGACCUCAGAUAGAGAGAACGUCCAGUGACUCCCACCCUGGAUCCCAACAAAUGUUGGCAGGCACAGCUCUAGGCCAGGCUGUCCUCAUGUGGCACAAAGGGCUGCUUCCCAAACUCACCCAAGCAGGCAGUGGGAAGGGAGGCGCCAGCAAGCCGAAGGAGGCUUUUCUCAACUGAUCAUCUUGGGAAAAGGCAGAUACAAAUUUCAUGGCUGGAAUGCAAGGGUUGUGAAACUGCUGAAGACGCCCCAAAGAGGGCCCAGGACGCUCCUUCCAGGAAGGCAGUGGGAGGAGGACUGGCAACAGCGGGGGGCGGGGGGGGAGAACAGGUUACCAGAGGGGCUGCCUUCUGGGAAGCAGGAACUAGGGCCUCCAAAAAGAAAGAAAUCCCAUGGUCCUGAGGUAGAAUAUGAGCCAGAGAUAGGUUUAUGCUUGCUUCUGAAGAAGAAAAUGAGGCCUGUUUUAGAACGAGCCAGCUAUGACACAGCUCAUUAUUUUAAAAAUCAUCGGGGCUAAUGAGAGGUCCUCCUUACAGCUAAACAAACCCAGUCACCCAGUCAUCUAACGUGGACCUAGCUUGUCCUCAGUGUCAUGUGAGAGCUUGUCCCUAGUCAUGCUACAACCAGUUAGUUACACGAGUUCCCCAAGUGAGAUCAUUAUUAUCUCAGAGACAUGGCCUGCAGGUCCUCAGAGGGUCCCGGAGCACAGGACAAGGAAGGCCACACCUGUUGAGAUCACCCUUAACUGCUUACCCUACAUCUCAAGUGUUUCUUCUGGAAAAGGAAAAAAUAUAAGACUAUUUACUUCACACAGUGGCUGCAGGGAUGAAUUGAAUUAAUAUUGGUAUGAACUGUUGGCUGCUAUGGAUGUAUGAAAUUAGCAAGUACCCAAUUCCCCAAGUAGGCCAGAACCCAGUUGCUGAUGCCGAGGCCUGAUCAGCUGUUCUAAGCGAACCCAUCUCUAUAACCUCCUCGAUCACAUCCAGAGCCACAAAGACCCAUGCAUCAGAGCUGCCCAGCCCAAAGUCCUGACUAAGGGGAAACUGGACAGGCAGACAAAAUAGGACCCAUGCUGUGAUGGCAGCCUCCCAGGGGAGGACAAACACUGGUUCCAGCACAUUUGGGGCCGGGUUUCUCUGUCACCAUCUUUAUGGUGAGUCUGAAAUGAGGUCAGGUCCCAGAGUGGACAGCACAGAUAUUACAAUGGUGCUUGCUAAUCUCAGCCGAUCUGGCUAUUGUCAAGCCUGAGACAGCAGAGACCUAGGCUCCAGGAGAGCUGAGGGCACUCAGGAGAACGGUCUUCGUGGACCAUUGCUCAACUGCUUAUUAGCAAAUUGGUAACAAGGACCAAGAACCUCAGGAGAGGGUCUGACCCCCACCCUCCCCAGAUGCCAGACUUCAGCGCUUUGGGUUCCUGAUUGGGCACUUGAGCUGCAGGGACGGCAGAAGACUCCAGAGGGUUCGCACCUCUGAUCUAUUCUCACCCAUCUCUGUGUAUCAGCCAAUGGAGGGCAAAGAGUAGGGGCAAAGGGGACGGCCUUCUGCCAAUACCCAGCCCUGCUGCCUUACUGUCCAGUUGUGUCUACAGAAACUGAGAGCCCGGUCUGUGCCCUUUGCAGUGUCUAGGGCACAAUAGCCAGACAUAUAAAUAAGAAACAGAACGAGAUAUCAGGCGUGUCUCAGGUCAAAGAGAGGCAACAAGGGGCAUCUCUGCAAGAGCUCUCUGUCAGAGCUCUGGCGUCCUCUGAGAGGCGGGAGGAGCAGCUACAUUUUCAGCAAACUACUCGAGGCUACAAGUCCACUUCUGACCUGCCACCAGUGCCAGAGAAGCCCAGGGCAAGAAGCCACACUUGGGGCUUAGGGAGUACAGUCCUGGGUCAGGGUCCAGACUGCAGGUGGAAAGCUUCCAGAUGCCCCAUGACACAGCUUGGCUAUCUGCUACUGCCACGACAAAACACGAGUGACCUAAGAAAGUCAUUGGCUUGCAGCUAAGGGCUGCUGAGUGGCAAUGGAAGCCUCUACAUGCUGUUAGAGAGCUCAAUUCUUCCAGCUCUGGAAGGCAGGUAUACCUGUGAGCUGCGCUGGAUGGAAGGGUGCUCAGAGUAACCCUCUUGACACCAUAAUCCGCUCCCAGGACACAUACUGGUGUUAAACAGCCAGGCUCCCCCACCUCAGAUCCUUCAGCAGCUUCCCAUGCUAGCUGCAGUUCUGGGUGCACCCUGAUCCUCUCUCUCCAAGACACACUGCCUACUUUAGAUGAUGGCAUCUUUCCUGUAGUGUGCAGUAACACUCAUCUUUCUGGGGAUCAUGAAUCAGCAACUGGGGCCUGACUCCAAAGCUGUGGUCACUUCCAACAAACUGUAUGUGCAGUCAGACGGCACUCGCCAUGAACAGUUCAUUGUUUCAUUCAUGUUCCCCCCAAAGGAAGGCCUGCACAUCCCAGCUGGCCCCCAGGACUUGAGGUUAUCACAUAACAAGCUUAUAGUAAAGGGUUCUUAGAAGGCAGGCAGAUCAUCCUAGUGGUGUAGGAUUGGCCCAGCUCCAUUUUCACCUGAGGCCCAACAAUCUCCUGAGCAGGCCAGGUUCUUGCUCUGAGCUGUCAGCACCGAGGCAUCCAGACUAGAUGAGAAGGGUUCCUAGCUCUAGCCUUGCUCUGCACUUGCGUCCUAACAGAGGAAGAGGUGGGAAGGAAGCAGAUCUGACCUCUGUGGUCGGCUGGUUUCUCCCAAGGACUACAGGACCCCGAGACAGGCAGCAGAGGCCUGCUAAGGAUUUCCCUUCCCUUCCCUGGGCCCCAGGAAAGGCAGGCAGGAAGAAGGGCCUCGGCAGCAGGCAUGCAGUGCAGGGCUGGCCAGACAAGGAGGUCCCAGGGGUUGCAGCUAUCAGCCAGAGCCCAGGCUCCAGGAAGGAAGGAAGGGCAACUCUGACUGCGGCUGAGAUAAGGGGACUGGCUUAGCACAAUGGGCUCCCACAAGGCUCAGAGGCCCCCAGUCAGAUUUUGCCCUGACCUGGACUCUCGUCUGUUCACACAGCCCAUAUAAAUAUUUACUGCUGUUUACAUUCAUGCUCUACAGAGUCCCCUUUGAGAACCUUUCCUUCAACCACAGGUCUGUGUGUCCCUGGACCACGGCUAUCCUUAACCCCAGAGACCCCAGGUCCCUUCACCCAGAACUAUGUGCACUGAUCUCUCUCAUGCAAUCCUUGGUUAUAGCCCCUCAGGAAAAAUACCAUCCUCUUGUCUUAGCCCUGGAACAUGACACUUACGGGGGA